rnacentral:rRNA from 1 species
UACGUAGGUGGCAAGCGUUGUCCGGAAUUAUUGGGCGUAAAGGGCUCGCAGGCGGUUUCUUAAGUCUGAUGUGAAAGCCCCCGGCUCAACCGGGGAGGGUCAUUGGAAACUGGGAAACUUGAGUGCAGAAGAGGAGAGUGGAAUUCCACGUGUAGCGGUGAAAUGCGUAGAGAUGUGGAGGAACACCAGUGGCGAAGGCGACUCUCUGGUCUGUAACUGACGCUGAGGAGCGAAAGCGUGGGGAGCAAACAGG